rnacentral:rRNA from 1 species
GAUCCUGGCUCACCAACUACGCUGGCGGCGUGCCUAACCAUGCAAGUCUAACGAAAAAGCGGGGGCAACUCCGCAAGUAAAGUGGCGACCGGGUGAGUAACACGUGACCAAUCUGCCCUCAAGUGGGGGAUAACUCCGUGGAAACCGGAGCUAAUACCGCAUAACAUCUUCGGUACGUAGGUACUGAUGAAUCAAAGGAGUAAUUCGCUUGAGGAGGGGGUCGCGGCUGAUUAUCUACUUGGUGAGGUAACGGCCCACCAAGGCAAAGAUCGGUAUCCGGCCUGAGAUGGCGCACGGCCACACUGGAACUGAAACACGGUCCAUACUCCUACGGGAGGCAGCAGUGGGGAAUUUUGCGCAAUGGGGGAAACCCUGACGCAGCGACGCCGCGUGGACGAUGAACUCCCUUGGGACGUAAACUCCUUUCGACCAGGAAGAUAAUGACGGUACCGGAAUAACAAUCACCGGC